rnacentral:rRNA from 1 species
UAGGGAAUAUUGGGCAAUGGCCGAGAGGCUGACCCAGCCAUGCCGCGUGCAGGAUGAAGGCUUUCUGAGUCGUAAACUGCUUUUGCCAGGGAAGAAAAAAGGGGAUGCGUCCUCUACUGACGGUACCUGGUGAAUAAGCACCGGCUAACUCCGUGCCAGCAGCCGCGGUAAUACGGAGGGUGCAAGCGUUGUCCGGAUUUAUUGGGUUUAAAGGGUGCGUAGGCGGCCGAUUAAGUCUGGGGUGAAAGCCCGUUGCUCAACAACGGAACUGCCCUGGAAACUGGUCGGCUUGAGUACAGACGAGGGUGGCGGAAUGGAUGCUGUAGCGGUGAAAUGCAUAGAUAGCAUCCAGAACCCCGAUUGCGAAGGCAGCUGCCUAGACUGUAACUGACGCUGAGGCACGAAAGCGUGGGGAGCGAACAGG